rnacentral:rRNA from 1 species
UGAGCAAUCUGCCCUUCUCAUCGGAAUAAGCGUUGGAAACGACGUCUAAUGCCGAAUACGACCUCCUUUCGCAUGAUCGGAGGUGGAAAGCUCCGGCGGAGAAGGAUGAGCUCGCGGCCUAUCAGCUAGUUGGUGUGGGUAAUGGCCCACCAAGGCGAUGACGGGUAGCCGGCCUGAGAGGGUGACCGGCCACACUGGGACUGAGACACCGGCCCAGACCUCCGUAGGGAGG